rnacentral:rRNA from 1 species
AGAGAGAGACAUGCGCGCAUAUCAAUAAGCGGAGGAAAAGAAACUAACAAGGAUUCCCCUAGUAACGGCGAGUGAAGCGGGAAGAGCUCAAAUUUGAAAUCUUAAAGGGUUUCCCUUUACGAAUUGUAGUUUAAAGAAGUGUUUUCUGUUGGAGUUUCGGUAAAAGUUCUUUGGAAUAGGACAUCAUAGAGGGUGAGAAUCCCGUAUUUGACCGUUACUUUCCAGCUGUGUGAUACACUUUCAACGAGUCGGAUUGUUUGGGAAUGCAGUCCAAAAUGGGUGGUAAAUUUCAUCUAAAGCUAAAUAUUGGCGAGAGACCAAUAGCGAACAAGUACCGUGAGGGAAAGAUGAAAAGAACUUUGAAAAGAGAGUUAAACAGUACGUGAAAUUGUCAAAAGGGAAGCGUUUGACACCAGUGUUGUUUAGCUCGAAAAUCAAUUAAAAUGACCUGAUUUUGAUAGUUAGUAUUGACUUUAUCAGCUUGCUGCACUUUUUUCUUGUAACUUAUUUAAUGCACUUUUCAGUUAACAAGUCAACAUCAAUUUCUUUUGUCGUAAAAGGGUCAGUAGGAAGGUGGCUUUCACAUUCGGUGUAAGUGUUUAUAGCCUUUGACUUCUGCAAUCGGAGAGAUUGAGGUCAUGCAGCGUAGAUCCUUCGGGGUUAGAUACAUUGUGCUAAGCUAUAGCCUUGUAUAGACAACUUGUUGACUAUGCUCAGUCAUGUAGCUUACUCGCUGAUAGCUAUUUUACCUACGCUUAGGAUGUUGAUAGUCACAGCGUGUAC